rnacentral:rRNA from 1 species
CGGGGUGCAGCAGGCGCGAAAACUUUACAAUGCGGGAAACCGUGAUAAGGGGACACCGAGUGCCAGCAUCAUAUGCUGGCUGUCCAGGUGUGUAAAAUACACCUGUUAGCAAGGGCCGGGCAAGACCGGUGCCAGCCGCCGCGGUAACACCGGCGGCCCGAGUGGUGAUCGUGAUUAUUGGGUCUAAAGGGUCCGUAGCCGGUUUGGUCAGUCCUCCGGGAAAUCUGAUAGCUUAACUAUUAGGCUUUCGGAGGAUACUGCCAGACUUGGAACCGGGAGAGGUAAGAGGUACUACAGGGGUAGGAGUGAAAUCUUGUAAUCCCUGUGGGACCACCUGUGGCGAAGGCGUCUUACCAGAACGGGUUCGACGGUGAGGGACGAAAGCUGGGGGCACGAACCGGAUUAGAUACCCGGGUAGUCCCAGCCGUAAACGAUGCUCGCUAGGUGUCAGGCAUGGCGCGACCGUGUCUGGUGCCGCAGGGAAGCCGUGAAGCGAGCCACCUGGGAAGUACGGCCGCAAGGCUGAAACUUAAAGGAAUUGGCGGGGGAGCACAAGGGCGAUUCGC